AACUUUGUUAAUGAAAUAAUUGACUAAUAAAGUGUAUGUCAACUUUUAGAUUCUGAGCAAAGGGAGGAAUUUAUUGGUUUUACAAUAAUAUUUAUUUUUUAAUUUUUUAACUGUAAACAUUUUUACUACUAGACAUUUUGUUUCGACUUUCAAGUAUAGCACUUCUUCUGAAAGUAAAUCUAACUGAAUAGGUUUCUUUGAGGAGACAAUAUUUUGAUUUUCCCAGGAGUUUUUACAAUGGAAAAAAACAUAGAAAACACGGGAAAAUAUACUACAUUAUGUAUUAUUUACAAAAUAAUCAUAAAUAUUAUGGAUUUUUAAAAUAUGUACAAUCGAACUCCGCUCAGAUCCGUUUUUUGUUAGAUUAAUCGUAGGGUAUAGAUAUACAAUAUAUUAUCCUUCUACCUUCCCAACUCCUCACCUACAACAGUGACUUCCCUCAUCAUGCUAAUUAUGUUCGUUUGUUUUUUGUAUCUUAUUUUCUGUCUGUAAACGAAUCAUCAUCCAAGCAUAAAUGACAAUUGAGCUCUCUUGUAGCAUUUCUGAUCUAUUUGGUGUAUUCAAUAUCUAAGUAUUUCUUUAAUUUCCUUGCAAGUCAUCUAUAUCACUCGCUAAUCUCUGUACUGUGAAUAACUGUUGCGUAUGCACUAUAAGUCACAAGACAUUUUGUUGUAUAAAAGUGAUUUUAUUUUAGAGUAGGAGCAGCACAAUUAAAUCAGCAAAAGGGUGGGAAAUAUUUUUAAAUUCAGUCUUG